ACUUUUGUCUCUUAAGUAUUGGUUCUUCCUAUCUCUUAGGUAACAAAUGGAAGAAAUUUCCCUGAGAGAAAGAAAACAGGAAAAAAACCAGAAAAAAUCUAACCUCCAGCAAUAUAGUAAUAUGAAACUUGUGGCAGACAUUAGUGCACUUCUCUUUCUCCCUUUAACUGUGUAAAGAUGAUCAUUAGAGGUAGAAAAGCAAAGACUUGGCUACGGACAGGCCAAGAUGAGUCUAAGAGAGUCCUGACACCGCAUGAGGUCUAUGAGCUUGACAAAAGGCUUGUGAUCUCUUACUGGCCCUGUCACCGCCGUCCCUUGUGGGCUACAGGACUGCAGGAUUAAAUAUAAAAGACAGAAAUCCCAGAUAAAUGCAUCUUGUGGCUUCGUGGGGAUGAUUCUCUUAAUUCUGAUUUGCAGUGCAUCAUUUUCCUCAGGAUGACAAUCAAAGUAACAAGAAUG